GACGAACGCUGGCGGCGUGCUUAACACAUGCAAGCCGAACGCUGAAGCUCAGCUUUUGUUGGGUGGAUGAGUGGCGAACGGGUGAUUAACACGUGAGUAACCUGCCCCCUUCUUUGGGAUAACGCCCGGAAACGUGUGCUAAUACUGGAUAUUCACUGGUCUUCGCAUGGGGGUUGGUGGAAAGGGUUUUUCUGGUGGGGGAUGGGCUCGCGGCCUAUCAGCUUGUUGGUGGGGUGAUGGCCUACCAAGGCUUUGACGGGUAGCCGGCCUGAGAGGGUGACCGGUGACAGUGGGACGGAGAUACGGCCCAGAGUACGACGGGAGGCAGCAGUGGGGAAAAUUGCACAAUGGGCGAAAGCCUGAUGCAGCGACGACGCGUGAGGGAUGGAGGCCGUCGGGUUGUGAACCUCUUUCGCUAAUGGUCAAGCCGCAACAAUGGUUGUGGUGAGGGUAGUGUGUAAAGAAGCGCCGGCUAACUACGUG
rnacentral:rRNA from 1 species